GGGGUUGUAGCUCAAUGGUAGAGCCUCAGUCUUCCAAACUGAUUACGCGGGUUCGAUUCCCGUCAACCCCUCCA
rnacentral:tRNA from 1 species